rnacentral:rRNA from 1 species
AGGACGAACGCUGGCGGCGUGCUUAACACAUGCAAGUCGAACGGAGUGAAGGGGAGCUUGCUCCUUGGAACUUAGUGGCAAACGGGUGAGUAACGCGUAGGCAACCUGCCCUUCAGAUGGGGACAACAUUUCGAAAGGAAUGCUAAUACCGAAUGACGUGCAUUGGUCGCAUGACCGAUGUACCAAAGGCCGGGCAACCGGUCACUGAAGGAUGGGCCUGCGUCUGAUUAGCUGGUUGGUGGGGUAACGGCCCACCAAGGCGACGAUCAGUAGCCGGUCUGAGAGGAUGAACGGCCACAUUGGGACUGAGACACGGCCCAAACUCCUACGGGAGGCAGCAGUGGGGAAUCUUCCGCAAUGGGCGCAAGCCUGACGGAGCAACGCCGCGUGAGUGAAAGAAGGUUUUCGGAUCGUAAAGCUCUGUUGUCAGGGACGAGAGACUUGAUCAGGAAAUGGGUCAAGGAGGACGGUACCUGGCGAGAAAGCCACGGCUAACUACGUGCCAGCCGCCGC